AUGACGCUGGAGGUCUGGGUGAGGGUAGGAAGGGAAGGGCACAACACGGAUGCGAAACAUAACAUUAGAGGAAGAGAACAUGUUGGGAUGAGGGGUGGGGCGAUUUUGGAGUAUUUGGGGUGGGUUGUGAGUGUCGUGUCUGAGAGGUGUUUGUACGACCCCAAUGCUAGAUGCAUCCGUUUGAGAGACAGUUAA
rnacentral:rRNA from 1 species